rnacentral:piRNA from 1 species
UGCAUCUUGCCGCCCCCUUGGGUCCCCUGA